UAUAGAGUUUGAUCAUGGCUCAGAGCGAACGCUGGCGGCAGGCCUAAUACAUGCAAGUCGAGCGCACCUUCGGGUGAGCGGCGGACGGGUGAGUAACGCGUGGGAACGUGCCCUUUGGUACGGAACAACUGAGGGAAACUUCAGCUAAUACCGUAUGUGCCCUUCGGGGGAAAGAUUUAUCGCCAUUGGAGCGGCCCGCGUUGGAUUAGCUAGUUGGUAGGGUAACGGCCUACCAAGGCGACGAUCGGUAGCUGGUCUGAGAGGACGACCAGCCACACUGGGACUGAGACACGGCCCAGACUCCUACGGGAGGCAGCAGUGGGGAAUUUUGGACAAUGGGGGCAACCCUGAUCCAGCCAUGCCGCGUGUGUGAAGAAGGCCUUCGGGUUGUAAAGCACUUUCGGACGGAACGAAAUCGCGCGGGUUAACAGUCCGCGUGGAUGACGGUACCGUAAGAAGAAGCACCGGCUAACUACGUGCCAGCAGCCGCGGUAA
rnacentral:rRNA from 1 species